CUCCACUUCCCUCCUUCACCUGACAAGCUGACGACAGGCAAGAUGCGGGACUCAGGUUUUCCUGUUUCUCUGCGACUUAUCUCGUAUUUUCCUUCACUAGUAUUUUGAAAGUCACAUUUUGGUCAAGAGGAAAUAAACGUUGAUUGGACAGGGUUCUCCCCUCUGAAAAAUCGUGGGGUGUGAUAGGGAGAGAACUUGAACUUCAGGAGAUUAAAAUGAUCAGAUGUAGGUGGGAACACACUAGGCAACUGGGAAAAUCGUUUAACCCUUUUUGGUUUCCUUUGAAAAAUGACAGUGUUAAUAUUAACAACUCCACUUGCUACUUUAAGGAUUACAAAAGCUAAUUUAUGUAGACUCACUUAUAAACACUGAAGAAAAGGUUUUUCCAUGUUGUAAAGUGAAGAACCAAACUACACAGAACUAGGAAAAGCACAUUCACCUCUAACCUAGGUCAUAUUGUGAGGCGUGUGUCAGGACUCCACUUCUUUAUUGGGGCACCAUGAUCAUGUGUCUCUGCCAGCAAGUACCAGCAAAUUUACUUUUAUAAUAUCCUCGCUGAUAAUUCUUGAGUGCUUACUAUAUGCCUGGAUCAGUGCUAUAUGCCCAUUAUGAAAUUUACUCCCCAGGAGAGGGCCCGAACAAUGUUUACUUGGUCGUGUUUUCACAAAAUUUGCAGAAAAAAUUUUAAGCGCCAUUAAGAUCUCUUUCCACAUGAACUCUUCAUGUAAGGUGAUGCUAGCGACUGCAAGCUAACUGAAAGGCUAGAUGAUGAGCACCACAGCAAGCACCUUUGGACCCAGAAACGGAAGCUACCUUUUGAGUACGGCAGAACUGCUUACUUCUGGACUGCUAUCUGAAAGAAAAAAUUAUCAAAGAAAUGCCUUAGUGACAUGAAGUCCAACUACGUUCUUCUGAGUCUUACCUGCAUGGCUGCAAGAACCUCUGGAUCACUAAGAAUUUCAUUGAGCCCAGGCAUCCCUGCCAUUCCAGGCAUGCCCCCUCCCAUUCCAGGCAUUCCUCCAGGAAAAGUACCAGGCAUUCCCCCAGGAAAGCCACCUGCAAGAAUAAAUGAAAGAACUGUAUAGACACCAACCAUAUUCACAAGUAGUCUGAUAGUGUACUAUUUCUUUCCAGAUUAAAAUAACACACACUCCCAUGAGCAUGCACAAAGAACAAGGGUGUUACUAAACACAAAGCAGUCUGACCAUUCUAACUGGAUGUAACAAGACAAUUUUUACCUUCAAAUUUUCUCUUAAAAAAUAAGGCUAGAAAUCAGACUUUGCUACUUUCUGGAUUCAUUUUUUUCCUACGGAUAAAACUGUUAAAAAAGAAAACUAAUCUUACCUUAAAACAAAGAGACAGCUAACUGUCCCUUGGAAUUACAAAAUUAAAAAGUCUAACAAAUCAUCUUGGUUAUGUUAUAUCUUAUCUUCUCAUUCUUUAAUAUUGUCUGUUUCAACUAAGUUAAUUCAUGUUUUUCUUUUUUUUUAAACUAUACUCCUCUAGUGCAGUUA